AACAUCGCCUCUUGCCCUCUAAGUAUAAGAGGUCCCGCCUGCCCUGUGACGAAAGUUUAACGGCCGCGGUAUUUUGACCGUGCGAAGGUAGCGUAAUCACUUGUCUUUUAAAUGAAGACCUGUAUGAAUGGCACAACGAGGGCUUAGCUGUCUCCUUUCUCCAGUCAAUGAAAUUGAUCUGCCCGUGCAGAAGCGGGCAUGCCACCAUAAGACGAGAAGACCCUAUGGAGCUUAAAACACCGGAAGACCUCAUGUUAAAACCCCCUAACAAAAGGGAAUAAACCAAGCGAUCUCUCUUCUAAUGUUUUUGGUUGGGGCGACCGCGGGGUAACACCAAACCCCCACGUGGAAAGGGGCUCCCCUUAAUCCCAGAGCCACCGCUCAAAUAAACAGAAAAUCUGACCAUCCGAUCCGGCAAUGCCGAUCAACGGACCCAGUUACCCUAGGGAUAACAGCGCAAUCCCCUUCUAGAGCCCAUAUCGACAAGGGGGUUUACGACCUCGAUGUUGGAUCAGGACUUCCUAAUGGUGCAGCCGCUAUUAAGGGUUCGUUUGUUCAACGAUUAAAGUCCUACGUGA
rnacentral:rRNA from 1 species